GGGCGUCAUAGAGGGUGAGAAUCCCGUAUGCGGUAGGUUGCCUUAGCCAUGUGAAUCUCCUUCGACGAGUCGAGUUGUUUGGGAAUGCAGCUCUAAAUGGGAGGUAAAUUUCUUCUAAAGCUAAAUACCGGCCAGAGACCGAUAGCGCACAAGUAGAGUGAUCGAAAGAUGAAAAGCACUUUGGAAAGAGAGUUAAAAAGUACGUGAAAUUGUUGAAAGGGAAGCGCUUGCAACCAGACUUGUCCGCAGUUGCUCAGCCGGUCUCCUGACCGGCGUACUCUUCUGCGGCCAGGCCAGCAUCAGUUCGGGCGGUCGGAUAAAGGCCUCGGGAAUGUGGCUCCUCUCGGGGAGUGUUAUAGCCCGGGGUGCAAUGCGGCCAGCCUGGACUGAGGAACUCGCUUCGGCAAGGAUGCUGGCGUAAUGGUUGUAAGCGGCCCGUCUUGAAACACGGACCAAGGAGUCUAACAUCUAUGCGAGUGUUCGGGUGUCAAACCCGUACGCGUAAUGAAAGUGAACGGAGGUGGGAAC
rnacentral:rRNA from 1 species